rnacentral:rRNA from 1 species
CCUACGGGAGGCAGCAGUGGGGAAUAUUGGGCAAUGGGCGCAAGCCUGACCCAGCAACGCCGCGUGAAGGAAGAAGGCUUUCGGGUUGUAAACUUCUUUUCUCAGGGACGAAGCAAGUGACGGUACCUGAGGAAUAAGCCACGGCUAACUACGUGCCAGCAGCCGCGGUAAUACGUAGGUGGCAAGCGUUAUCCGGAUUUACUGGGUGUAAAGGGCGUGUAGGCGGGGACGCAAGUCAGAUGUGAAAACCACGGGCUCAACCCUGGAACUGCGUUUGAAACUGUUCUUCUUGAGUGAUGGAGAGGCAGGCGGAAUUCCGUGUGUAGCGGUGAAAUGCGUAGAUAUACGGAGGAACACCAGUGGCGAAGGCGGCCUGCUGGACAUUAACUGACGCUGAGGCGCGAAAGCGUGGGGAGCAAACAGGAUUAGAUACCCGUGUAGUC